rnacentral:tRNA from 1 species
UCCCAUGUAGUUCAGCUGGUAGAGCAUGGUGCUUGCAAUGCCAGGGGUGUGGGUUUGAUUCCCACGGGGAA